rnacentral:lncRNA from 1 species
ACUUUGGCGAGCUUUUAAAUAUAUAAAACUAUUGAGUAUUGUUCAUUGGCAACCAGUGAGUAAAACACAGAAAUUCAAAAUAACGUACAGUACAUCAAUAUAGAAAGACCUCUGGAAGGCUCUUCACUCGGAAUGUGUGCUAUAUAUCCAUUUACUAGUAAUUCAAAUGCAACCGCGUGUUCAAGUGAUAAACCCGUAAUAAUUCAAACGUAUCUUAUAAAAGCGCCGUGUUGAUCACAUUACUUGGUGAUUUAUAAAACAUAUGAAUAUUAAGUUUAACAGACAAACAGAUAAAAGUGUAAAAUUUCCUUUCCAAAGGAGCUCGUCUAUUGUCAAUUUCAGCUAAUGUAAUGUUCGUCUUUAUGCAUUUUUUCAAUCAAAUUAUAAGAUCACGUCAUCUUGGUGACCUCUAUUUCCUCGUGUUUCACAUCCUAUUCCACCAGAGAAAAUAACCACUUCAGUUUAAAAAGGCUAAAGGAGGAUUUCCAGUCCUCGCACGAAGCUCCUCGCAGCGAGUGAUGCAUGAGCACUUUCAUCCAAUCACAAUGCUGCUAAACAUUGCUAAACAGUUAAUUUCAAUUGACCAUUUGCGUAAUAGACUAAAUUUUGAUAUUGACAAAAAUUUCAUCAUAGCUUGAAAGAGCAUCACAAAAUUAGUAAUAUUCCGAAGUUUCGUUGCGAAAUGUUGUAAAAUGCGGAAAAUAUAGCCUUGCG